UACGGAGGGAGCUAGCGUUGUUCGGAAUUACUGGGCGUAAAGCGCGCGUAGGCGGUUAAUUAAGUCAGGGGUGAAAUCCCGGAGCUCAACUCCGGAACUGCCCUUGAAACUGGUAAACUAGAAUCCUGGAGAGGCGAGUGGAAUUCCGAGUGUAGAGGUGAAAUUCGUAGAUAUUCGGAAGAACACCAGUGGCGAAGGCGACUCACUGGACAGUUAUUGACGCUGAGGUGCGAAAGCGUGGGGAGCAAACAGG
rnacentral:rRNA from 1 species